GAUGAACGCUGGCGGCGUGCUUAACACAUGCAAGUCGAACGGAAAGGCCCUGCUUGCAUGGUACUCGAGUGGCGAACGGGUGAGUAACACGUGGGUGAUCUGCCCUGCACUUCGGGAUAAGCCUGGGAAACUGGGUCUAAUACCGGAUAGGAGCCCUUUUUAGUGUGAUGGUUGGAAAGUUUUUUCGGUGUAGGAUGAGCUCGCGGCCUAUCAGCUUGUUGGUGGGGUAAUGGCCUACCAAGGCGGCGACGGGUAGCCGGCCUGAGAGGGUGGACGGCCACAUUGGGACUGAGAUACGGCCCAGACUCCUACGGGAGGCAGCAGUGGGGAAUAUUGCACAAUGGGCGCAAGCCUGAUGCAGCGACGCCGCGGGGGGGAUGACGGCCUUCGGGUUGGAAACUCCUUUCGCUAGGGACGAAGCUUUUUGUGACGGUACCUAGAUAAGAAGCACCGGCUAACUACGUG
rnacentral:rRNA from 1 species